AGAAAAGGUUGAACCCAAUCAUGAACCAGGCCCAAUCCUUUAAUUAAAAACCCAAUUAACCUAUGUGAACCCAAUCUGGUUUUAAACUGAGCCCCAAAGGCUCUAAAUUGGGUAAAUUGGACUUGGCUAGAUCCUUGGAUGGGAUCCAAGCAAGUAAGUUCAUAAUAUGAUGAACUAAGAAAUUUUAUAAUAAAUGAAUGGGGAAUAAUGUAAUCCCUAUGAUGUUGUUUUAGGUGAUUAAGGAUUUGUCACCUGGACUUGAGCAAUUUGGAAAGCGAAUUGAUGUAAGUAAUCUGUCUUAAUCUUAUCGUAGAUCUUAUAUUACGUUUUAUAAGAUGAACCAGUGUUUUUCAUACAAUUUGAAUUGUAUACAUGAUUUGUGAAGAAAGUAAGUAACCUGUUCUAAUCCUGUUAUGGAUCAUGUCAUGUUAUUAAUGUUUCCUAAGCAUUUAUUUUAAGUAUAUAUGUUUCAUGCAUGAUAUGUUACAAUGCAUAAGUAACUUGCAUGAUCCCAGAAGCUAUGGCUAUGUAUGCAAUAUGAUGAUGCUGAUAUUUUAAUCAUGCAUGUAAGUUUAUAAAGUCUUAGCUAGCCAAGAGGCACUAUAAUGGGCUCAAAGAUGCUACUGAUCGAAUGCAACUGAGCUGGCCUUGCUUGUGGCCGAGAAUGACUAGCUGGCCCCGCCAGUGGCCGAAUGGACUUCGCAGUAGCAUCCGAGAGAAUGGACGACGGUAUAUGCCGGGGGGCACGGUUUCAUAUGCAUACUUUAUGAAAAUGAUAUUUGAAGCAUGAUCAUGAGGCUCGUUUCAGAGCCUGG
rnacentral:lncRNA from 1 species